GAUGAAGAACGUAGCGAAAUGCGAUACGUAAUGUGAAUUGCAGAAUUCAGUGAAUCAUCGAAUCUUUGAACGCAUAUUGCGCUCUCUGGUAUUCCGGAGAGCAUGCUUGUUUGAGUAUCAGUAAACACCUCAACUUCCAUAUCUUUUUUUGAAAUGGGAGUUGGACUUGAGUGAUCCCAACGCUUUUCCUCACCGAAAAGUGGCGGGUUACUUGAAAUGCAGGUGCAGCUGGACUUUUCUCUGAGCUAUAAGCAUAUCUAUUUAGUCUGCCUAAAAAACAGAUUAUUACCUUUGCUGCAGCUAACAUAAAGGAGAUUAGUUCUUGUGCUGACUGAUGCAGGAUUCACAAAGACAGCUUCGGCCGACUUUGUAAACUCGAUCUCAAAUCAAGUAAGACUACCAGCUGAACUUAAGCAUAUCAAUAAGCGGAGGA
rnacentral:misc_RNA from 1 species